UACGGAGGGGGCUAGCGUUGUUCGGAAUUACUGGGCGUAAAGCGCACGUAGGCGGGUCUUUAAGUCAGGGGUGAAAUCCUGGAGCUCAACUCCAGAACUGCCUUUGAUACUGAGGAUCUCGAGUCCGGGAGAGGUGAGUGGAACUCCGAGUGUAGAGGUGAAAUUCGUAGAUAUUCGGAAGAACACCAGUGGCGAAGGCGGCUCACUGGCCCGGUACUGACGCUGAGGUGCGAAAGCGUGGGGAGCAAACAGG
rnacentral:rRNA from 1 species